GGUCCGCUUUGGGUCGUUGGAGAGCGCGAGGGGUUUUGUCUCGCGGGCCGCGGCCGUUAAGCAGGCAGCCACUGAACUUGAGCGAGUGACUGCUGUGACCUUUAUUGGGAAUCUUCAAGAGAUUUUGACGGUGGUGUUGGCGUUUGAACAUGGAGACCUGGAUUCGGAACCUGAACUCGCGGACCACGAUGUUCUGGUCCAUCGCCCUGGUAAUCUUGAUAGUGUGUAUCAUCGGUUCCUUUGUUCUCCUCAUUGAGAUAAUGAUAAGCAUGCAUACAAGUUUGGAUGAAUUUGCAGCAAUGCUGCAGGACCAAGCAGAUUUCCUUAAGUCUCUGGAAGAUUGGAGAGAUCUGCUAGAGAAACGUCUCUGAGAUGCUGCAGUGGUGGAGUUCCAGUCUUCCUUUUUUUGAAAUUGUUGAGUUGAUGUAAAAAAAUAAAAAUUCUUCACUUUGA